rnacentral:tRNA from 1 species
CGGCGCUCUCGGGGGCGGAUCCCGAGCCGCUCUUACCGGUACCACUGGAGCCGUUCUUUGCGGCGGGCGCCUC